rnacentral:rRNA from 1 species
AGAGUUUGAUCCUGGCUCAGAACGAACGCUGGCGGCAGGCCUAACACAUGCAAGUCGAGCGCUCUCUUCGGAGGGAGCGGCGGACGGGUGAGUAACGCGUGGGAACGUGCCCAGAGGUACGGAACAACAGUUGGAAACGACUGCUAAUACCGUAUAUUCCCUACGGGGGAAAGAUUUAUCGCCUUUGGAUCGGCCCGCGUUGGAUUAGGUAGUUGGUGGGGUAAUGGCCCACCAAGCCGACGAUCCAUAGCUGGUUUGAGAGGAUGAUCAGCCACACUGGGACUGAGACACGGCCCAGACUCCUACGGGAGGCAGCAGUGGGGAAUCUUAGACAAUGGGGGAAACCCUGAUCUAGCCAUGCCGCGUGAGCGAUGAAGGCCUUAGGGUUGUAAAGCUCUUUCACCGGUGAAGAUAAUGACGGUAGCCGGAGAAGAAGCCCCGGCUAACUCCGUGCCAGCAGCCGCGGUAAUACGGAGGGGGCUAGCGUUGUUCGGAAUUACUGGGCGUAAAGCGCGCGUAGGCGGGCUGUUAAGUCGGGGGUGAAAUCCCGGGGCUCAACCCCGGAACUGCCUCCGAUACUGGCAGCCUAGAGAUCUGGAGAGGCGAGUGGAAUUCCGAGUGUAGAGGUGAAAUUCGUAGAUAUUCGGAGGAACACCAGUGGCGAAGGCGGCUCGCUGGCCAGAUACUGACGCUGAGGUGCGAAAGCGUG